UACGUAGGCAGCGAGCGUUGUUCGGAGUUACUGGGCGUAAAGAGCGCGCAGGCGGUCGUUCAAGUCGCGUGUGAAAGCCCCCGGCUCAACUGGGGAGGGUCACGCGAUACUGAUCGACUCGAAGGCAGGAGAGGGUAGUGGAAUUCCUGGUGUAGCGGUGAAAUGCGCAGAUAUCAGGAAGAACACCCGUGGCGAAGGCGGCUCUCUGGGACGGUACUGACGCUGAGACGCGAAAGCGUGGGGAGCGAACAGG
rnacentral:rRNA from 1 species